rnacentral:lncRNA from 1 species
UUUGAGUAUCCGAAAGACGCUCUCCUCUCUAUUCGUCUUCUCUUCUCUUUUCGUCUUUUUCUCUCUGGCUCUGCUUGUGUAGAGUACAGAGAAACCGAAAAACGCUGUCUUUGCUCACUUAUUUCGCCAUGAUCUCGUUGAACCGAAGCUGUUAUUUGGUAAUUUGCUUUGAAAAAUCUCUUAUAAUCAGACCCAUUUCUCUUUCCAGGCUUUUUGACCAUACCCAUUUCAUCAAUUAGCUUGGCUUGCUUCUCUUCCACGUCGAAAGUCGCGAGAUUUUCUUUUUUCUUUUUGGUCUAAUUUCUACAGGUUUUUGUUUCUGGCUUUAGUGUUAUGAGGAGCAUAAAGUUUAUUAUAUUAUCACGGAUCGAAUGCUCUCAUCAGUUUCUCACAUCUGGGUUGGUGUAAUUUGCUAUUUAUUGUUCAAUUUACGGAGUUAUCCAAGUUUUUUCAUUUUCACAUUCAAUUCCAUUUUUUCGGUCUUCUGGGUUUUAACAAUUUCGCUCAAAAGAUUCACAAAAUCUCAACUUUAUAAACCGGGUUUUAUUGAUCUCAUCGUUUCAUGUAUCACAUCGAAAAUCACGUAUUCUUAAUCCGUUUAUUUCCUCUUUUGUAUUUAACACGCAUUGAAGAUCUUAUGGCUCAUAUCUACUGUUUUCAAGCUGUUUAGAUGCAAGACAUGCAAAUUAUUACCUUGUUGUGUCUUCUUGUAUAGAUUUCCUUGAUUCUGAUAUUUUUUCUUGUGUUACCUCUUUUUGGGUUGAACAGAAUAAAACAGACCUGCCUGGGUCUCAUAGUCCUUUGUCUUCUAGGCAUAAAAAACUAUUCCCU